rnacentral:rRNA from 1 species
CAAGUCUUGACAUCCCUCUGAAUCCUCUAGAGAUAGAGGCGGCCUUCGGGACAGAGGUGACAGGUGGUGCAUGGUUGUCGUCAGCUCGUGUCGUGAGAUGUUGGGUUAAGUCCCGCAACGAGCGCAACCCUUGAUUUUAGUUGCCAGCACUUUAAGGUGGGCACUCUAGAAUGACUGCCGGUGACAAACCGGAGGAAGGCGGGGAUGACGUCAAAUCAUCAUGCCCCUUAUAACUUGGGCUACACACGUACUACAAUGGCUGGUACAACGGGAAGCGAAGCCGCGAGGUGGAGCCAAUCCUAUAAAAGCCAGUCUCAGUUCGGAUUGCAGGCUGCAACUCGCCUGCAUGAAGUCGGAAUUGCUAGUAAUCGCGGAUCAGCAUGCCGCGGUGAAUACGUUCCC